AGAUCGGACUUUGGCCAAUUGAUCUGACCACUUAACAGAAAGACUCGACUAAGUCAUCAUAUUAUGAAUAAUAAUUUCAAUAGCAGAUGAGCAACAGAACUUUAGGCCUCCAAUGAUCAUCAUACUAAUAGAUCCAUUAUCACCCAACUUAAUGGGAGGCUAUGAUAGUUAUCACCAUAACUAACUUAUUUUAAGAAACCUAAUAAUUUGAAGGAUUUAGUUAUGAUUUAAGAGUAAAAAAGAAAAGAGAUCAAUCAGCAAACCACAAUCCUUCUACUGAUUUCAGCAAGUCAUUGCAUCAGAUUAGGGUCAUGUUGAUCGAACUGGCACCUAGAUCACUCACACUGAUCAACCUUAAUAGUAUGGGUUAACUCGAAUCACUUAGCGAUCUAAUCAAAAUAUAAUUCAUCAAAUUGAUCAAAUAAGUGAGAUCGAUGAGAGGAUCUACUAAGCUUGCCUUAGACAUAUCGAAAUGGCC
rnacentral:lncRNA from 1 species